AUGGAGCAGCGGCAAUCAAUCACCAUGUCGAAGCUAGACAGCAGCGGUGUGACAGUCCUCGACGACUUGCCAGAGUCCAUAAUUGCCGGGGAGAUACUCAUCAGGUUGCCGGCAGAGGACAUCCUUCGCUGCCGUGCUGUGUGCAAGUUGUGGUGCCAUGCCACCUCCGCCCACGACUUCCUUCUCGCUCACCAUCAUCGCCAGCCCUCGCUCCUUCUCAUCAAUUGCUUCAACCGUGACAACAGAUUCUGUGACGGCCAUCUCUGCGUCUUCUGCGGCGACCAUGCUGGGUCUACCGGCCGCAAGCUCUGCCGGCCCAUCCUCUGGUAUGCUGACCACACGCAGGAUGUAGACAGCCUCGCUAUCCAGGCUGCCUGUGAUGGCCUCCUCAUCGUCUCUUACAAAGAUAAUGGCAGACGCUUCGAUAUCUGCAAUCCAACAACCCGCCAACGUGCUCCCCUGUUGCUGCUUCCUGGACCAAGAUGUCGUGCUUCAGCUAAAAGCAUUCGCAUAGCAGGAUUCUACCAGCAUUGCCCGUCCAGAGAAUACCGUCUGCUCUACUCAAUCUGGACAAGGAAUGAGAAUGGUUUCUCUUUCACGACUGAUUUCUAUGUCCUCUCGGUGGGAUCUGAUGAGCCUAGGCCCAUAGGACAUCCACCUAUGGGACAAGACCUACUGGAUGGACUGACCUGUUCGUCUAAUGUAUCUGUUCUCCACCGCGGCAGCCUGCAUUGGGGACUAGAACGGUACCACUCUGACGUCAGCAAAAUUCUAGUGUUUGACACUGCUGAUGAGACAUUUAGGUGGAUGAGCCGUCCCACCGGGAUGAGCUUUUGGACACUGUUGUUGGAGAUUGACAGUGUGCUUGCUAUGUGCACCAGUCACAAUGGCAUUGUUGUAGAUAUACACAUGAUGCAGGACUAUGAGGCUGAGGUCUGGGCCUUCAAGUACCGGAUUGACCUGUCAGCACUGAAGGCGUCCCUACCGCUUGAUCUAAGGGUGAGAUGUUUACGCAAGAUUGCUGUGCUCGACAAGCAUGAGUUGCUCAUUGAGCUUGAUGCUGGGCAUCUUGUGCACUGUGAUAUUGAUGGCAAGUUUCUGGGACACGUGAAAUGCAGUGAGUGUGAGGAAAGCCGUGUGCACAUUACACCUUAUCGCUUCCAGGAGAAUAUCAUUCCACUUCCGCUCUUGGAGAUGCAAGAUGAUUAUGUGAUACCAGAAGCAGAAGAUGAUGAUGAGAUCCAUUACUUCAUCUGGCCAUAUCCAUAG
rnacentral:rRNA from 1 species